GGCCGCACCCAUGGCAUAUGGAAGUUCCUGGACUAGGGACUGAAUCUGAGCCGCAGGUGCGGCAGAGCCAGAUCCUUUAACCCACUGUGCUGGGCCGGGGAUAGAAACCGAGCCUCUACAGUCAGAUUCUUAACCAACUGCACCACAGUAGGAACCCCAACAUUCGACAUUUGAUGGUGCAGAUACCUCCUUCUUCCUUCAGUGUAAAUAUUCUAAUACAAAUAUUUUUAUUAAUUGCCCCCCGCCAAAAAACAACAAAAAACCAAAAAGCACAAUAAAAAAAUUGGACCUUACCAAACCACCUGUAGGGCUUGCUUGCCCCUCUGGUACACUCUUCCACCCUGUGUCUUGCCUUGGUAAUGCCUGAUGGGUCACCCGAUAGGCUUCAACCUAGACAUCACACAUUUCUUCAGGAACCUUCCCUUCCACUAUGCUCCUGUCACCAGGGGUGUAGUACUAGGGGAAUCACACCUGAUAGCAAUUGCUCAUUUAUUUAGUACCCUCCAGCAUAUACAUUAAAUACAUCUGUAAGUACUUGCUGACUAUUCCACUAGGUAAUAGGCACCACCCAACCUGGGAAAGAUGAUUGGUGCCUUCCCCGUAGAGCCUAGUCCAAGCUUUUGUUUUGUUUGUCCUUUUAUAGCCACACCUAUGGCAUAUGGAAGUUCCCAGGCUAGGGGUUGAGUCAGAGCUGCAGCUAUGGCCUAUGCCUCAGCCACAGCAACGCCCAGAUCUGAGCCACAUCUACACUGUAGCUUAUGGAGUUCCUGUAGUGGCACAGCGGAAACGAAUCUGACUAGGAACCAUGAGGCUACAAAGGGAACUCUGGAAUCUGUAUUUUUAACAUGGGGUCUUCUCUAAAGAGUCAAUUCUCUAUUUAAUCAGACUGCAUCUGCCUUUACUGUCUCCAGCAACCAAGGCCAAAUGUAUAGUAGUUGUCAACAAAUAGCUUUUGAUGACUACCUCUAAAACUUAACACAAUCAAGCAUUUUGAGUAUGGCGAGUCCCCUUGUGGCUUGGCAGGUUGGGGACAAUAUAGGCAGGGAGGAGUGAGAUCAGACUAGUAGAGGAGGCAAAUUGAAUCCACAGAGGCCAAAGGUGGCAAUUAGAAAGGGGCUUGUGGAGUGGCUGAAGAGUUUGGGAUUUAUUACCUCUAGGGUACUGGAGAGUCAUCCAUGGGCUUGAAGCAGGGGAAUUAUGAGAUCACAUCUGGGCUGUGCAGUUGUGUAGGGGGAGGAGGCAGGAAGCAGUGAAGAGUCUAAAGAUGUGGUCAGAAGUGAUAGUGCCUGAGCCAGGUUGGAGGCAGUGGGGAUAGAGAGAUUAGAGUGAAGAGAUAUCCCAAAGGCAGAAUGGACAAUUUAGAGAUUGAUGGGAUGUGGGAGAUGAGAGAAUGAAGCCCAGGUUUCUGGCCUUUGUGGUGGAUGGAUGAUGGUAUCUUUCACUGACAAGGGGGAGUCCUAGAGAAGCAAACUGAGAGUAACAAGGCUCAUAAGGGUGGCCUGGGAGCCAUCCAGAAGACAGUGUCCAGAAAGAAGCUGGAUAUGUUGACCCGGGGCAAGAAGAAAAGGGUGUAGGAGUUCCCGUCAUGGUGCAGCAGAAACGAAUCCGACUAGGAACCAUGAGGUUGUGGGUUUGAUCCCCCGCCUCGCUCCGUGGGUUAAGGAUCCGGCAUUGCCAUGAGCUGUGGUGUAGGUUGCAGACGAGGCUUGGAUCUGGCGUUGCUGUGGCUUUGGCAUAGGCCGGUGGCUGCAGCUCUGAUUAGACCCCUAGCCUGGGAACCUCCAUAUGCUGUGGGUGCAGCCCUAAAAAGACAAAAGGCAAAAAAAAAAAAAGGGUGUAGGCUAGAAGCUAAAGCUUGAGAGUCAUCCUUGCUUUACUGUGAAAUCUUAUGUGACUACAGUGAUGUGCAGUGACCACUCUGUAACUUUCAUACUGGUAGUCUAUACCUUUUACUGGCUUCUCCAUCCUGACUUCUACCUACUAAUGUUCAUCAAGUUUAGAGGCUGUAGACUAAUAUGAGACAAAAUGUAAGGCACUUGAGAGCUAGGGAUAUCAUUUCUCUCCAGUAUUACUUAGCCUUGAGCAUAAACCUAGGCAUUGAGCAGUUAUUAGGGCUUACUUAUAGAUUAAUAAGGCAUGACUCCAAAUAAUCUCUGCUGCUUUCCGAGUGUCUGAAAUCCACCAUCAAAGUCCUUCCUUUAGGUUAACACAGUAGUGUCCAACUUGCAUUAGAGGCAGAAACUACACCCCCACUCCCCAACAAAUUGGAGAAGGGGGAGAGAAUGAGUAGAGGCCCGGAGUCUGCCUGAUGGACCGCCCCCCCCUUCUCUUUCCUUUCCCAAGCAGCCCCUAAGCUAAAGCAUCAUAUCUAGAAGAUUCCUAUAAAUAAUGGAAAUGUUACCUAACAGAGUGAGGAGCCCUAAGCACCCAGCGAAAGAACAGGAAGAGAGAGAGUGGGGCUAGGUGGAAGAUUUGAGUACUCACCUUGGCUUUUUUCUUUUCUUUUUUUUUUUUUGGCUGAGCCCACAGAAAUUCCCAGGCCAGGGACCAAACCCACACUAUAGCAGUGACCCCAGUCACAGCACUGACAACAACAGAUCCUUAACCACUAGGCCACUGAGGAACUCCUUCGUCAUGAUUUUGCCAACAAGUUACUGGACGACUCUGAGCAAGUCACUUCACUUCUAGAGUUCAAGAUAAAACUGUGGCUCGCUCUUCAAAAAGAACUGUGAACACCAACUGAAAGGGCAAGCAUGAAGGUGUUUUUGCAAAGUGAAAAAUGUGAGUGAGAUUGAUUAUUAAAGGAUGGUCAAUGCAUAUCUGAAAAAUGCAGGUAAGAUCACACAGAACAAAAGUAAUCUACUUCUUGGAGUUCCCGUCGUGGCGCAGUGGUUAACGAAUCCGACUAGGAACCAUGAGGUUGCAGGUUCGAUCCCUGGCCUUGCUCAGUGGGUUAACGAUCCGGCGUUGCUGUGAGCUGUGGUGUAGGUUGCAGAAAUGGCUUGGAUCUGGUGUUGCUGUGGCUCUGGCGUAGGCCAG
rnacentral:lncRNA from 1 species